rnacentral:misc_RNA from 1 species
UUCCGUCAGCUCUUCGAUCUCAGCGUCAGUUAAGCCAGAAUAGGCUUUACCGAUCGUUUCCAACCUGCCGCUCUCAGAAUUUCUAACGGCGAAGGUGUAGUCGCUAAGGACGUGGCUUCGUUUACCAUGC